AACUUGUCCUGUGGGGUUAGGGAUCAACCUGGGCUCAGACUGCACAAUGGGGAGCUUAAGGUGUCAGUCCCUCCUGGUGUUGCUUUGUGGGACAAGGAUGGCGGUGGAUUUCUUCAAGGUCUUUGGCACUAACUAGCAUAAUCUUUAGGCUCACAGAAUCUCUCUAGCUCUGGCCUUUAGCUUUUUCUGUUCUACCCUAUUGACUUACUUCAAAUGAAUAAUGUCACAACUUUUUCAUUUAAAGGAGGAGAACAAGCUUGGCAGAUGAUUAGUAAUGUCUGAAAGCGAUGCAUUCAAAUCCCCACUCUCCCGGGAUGGCAUUGGCAUUAUGUGAGCCCCUGAAGCCGGCAGAUAUCUUUAGAGGAAGUCCCAAAAUGCUGAAAGGGACUCUGUACUGGGAGACACACAGAACUGUGGAGAGGGCUGUGAGUGCCCCUUCUAUCUGAGGAGGGAGAUUCCAGAAGAAAGCAGGAGCCUGAGGCUUGUUCUACCCUGCCUCCAACCUCAUGACCCUAACCUUCCCAUGUUCAGAUAAAGUGUAACUU
rnacentral:lncRNA from 1 species